AACGAAACCUUUUUUAUCACCGAGUGCUUGCCCUCACCGAUAAAGAGUUGAGUGGCGAACGGGUGAGUAACACGUGGGCAACCUGCCCAAAAGAGGGGGAUAACACUUGGAAACAGGUGCUAAUACCGCAUAACCAUAGUUACCGCAUGGUAACUAUGUAAAAGGUGGCUAUGCUACCGCUUUUGGAUGGGCCCGCGGUGCAUUAGCUAGUUGGUGGGGUAAAGGCUUACCAAGGCAAUGAUGCGUAGCCGAACUGAGAGGUUGAUCGGCCACAUUGGGACUGAGACACGGCCCAAACUCCUACGGGAGGCAGCAGUAGGGAAUCUUCCACAAUGGGCGAAAGCCUGAUGGAGCAACGCCGCGUGGGUGAAGAAGGUCUUCGGAUCCUAAAACCCUGUUGUUAGAGAAGAAAGUGCGUGAGAGUAACUGUUCACGUUUUCGACGGUAUCUAACCAGAAAGCCACGGCUAACUACGUGCCAGCAGCCGCGGUAAUACGUAGGGGGCACGCGUUAUCCGGAUUUACUGGGUGUAAAGGGAGCGUGGACGGUGAUGCAAGUCUGAAGUGAAAGCCCGGGGCUCAACUCCGGGACUGCUUUCGCCCCUGUGUGACUGGAGUGCAGGAGAGGUCAGCGGAAUUCCUGGUGUAGCGGUGAAAUGCG
rnacentral:rRNA from 1 species